UCAAACUAAACCGCUUGCCUCCUCUCCCAUCUGAACACCUAGAAUCACUCAAAAAUGUUUUUCCUUCUUUACUGCCUAGAGAAAACCUAGAAAACUAUUAGGAUCAACAAUGCCCGAAAGCCCCAAACAUCACUACCUCAACCACACCCUUUAAUUUUGCUUUGAUUCUUGUUUGCUGGAUAAUUGUGGUUGGUUUUGAUGGUGGUAUUGGCACCAGUAGGGUGUUGGUUCUGGAUAAUGUGAU
rnacentral:lncRNA from 1 species